rnacentral:rRNA from 1 species
CGGCGGACGGGUGAGUAACACGUGGAUAACCUACCUAUAAGACUGGGAUAACUUCGGGAAACCGGGGCCAGUACCGGAUAAUAUAUUGAACCGCAUGGUUCAAUAGUGAAAGACGGUUUUGCUGUCACUUAUAGAUGGAUCCGCGCCGCAUUAGCUAGUUGGUAAGGUAACGGCUUACCAAGGCAACGAUGCGUAGCCGACCUGAGAGGGUGAUCGGCCACACUGGAACUGAGACACGGUCCAG